rnacentral:rRNA from 1 species
AGCGAACGCUGGCGGCAGGCCUAACACAUGCAAGUCGAACGAACCUUUCGGGGUUAGUGGCGGACGGGUGAGUAACACGUGGGAACGUGCCUUUAGGUUCGGAAUAACUCAGGGAAACUUGUGCUAAUACCGAAUGUGCCCUUCGGGGGAAAGAUUUAUCGCCUUUAGAGCGGCCCGCGUCUGACUAGCUAGUUGGUUGAGGUAAUGGCUCACCAAGGCGACGAUCAGUAGCUGGUCUGAGAGGAUGAUCAGCCACAUUGGGACUGAGACACGGCCCAAACUCCUACGGGAGACAGCAGUGGGGAAUCUUGCGCAAUGGGCGAAAGCCUGACGCAGCCAUGCCGCGUGAAUGAUGAAGGUCUUAGGAUUGUAAAAUUCUUUCACCGGGGACGAUAAUGACGGUACCCGGAGAAGAAGCCCCGGCUAACUUCGUG